UACGUAGGUGGCAAGCGUUGUCCGGAAUUAUUGGGCGUAAAGCGCGCGCAGGCGGUUCUUUAAGUCUGAUGUGAAAGCCCACGGCUCAACCGUGGAGGGUCAUUGGAAACUGGGGAACUUGAGUACAGAAGAGGAAAGCGGAAUUCCACGUGUAGCGGUGAAAUGCGUAGAGAUGUGGAGGAACACCAGUGGCGAAGGCGGCUUUCUGGUCUGUAACUGACGCUGAGGCAUGAAAGCGUGGGGAGCAAACAGG
rnacentral:rRNA from 1 species